CGAAGACGCUGACAACACGCGCCCCGACUCCCCCUCCCCAAUCCACGUAGUCACUGAGGAUGAAAGGGGCUGGAUCGUUGGAGCAGGCGUGGGAUCCGUCCGCGCCUGGCGCCGGCGCGCUCCGCGCCACGGCUAUCGCCCAGCUCUAUUUCCGGAUGACCAGUCAUCACCCACUGACAAUCUUGGUUGUGGACGCGAUGUGCCUCGUCUUCGGGGCGGACGGCGUAACAGUGCAGGAGCUGGUCAACUACUUGGGGAUCACCGAGGACCGGGUGCGGUUUGGCCUUGAGGGCAUUCCGGCGGAAAUGCGGUGCACCGCGCGACAGCUGGAGUCGGAAGGGUCGCUUGUCGGCGCUGCGCCGGACGCAGUGGGGGAUUCGGAUGCGGCGCAACGUGGCCGACGCCUCGGCACCGGAGAAACAGGCUCGAAGGAGGUUCGAUAUUACCUGAACUACAAGCGGAUGUUGCCGCUUGUGUACGCCCACGGGACGCGUCUGCUGCUGUCUGCGUGCGUGACUGACGUUCCACCAUGCAGGUACGUGGAGUCGGUGCAGCAGGCGCAGUUAGCGGCGUACCAGAAAGCUGACGCGAGCAUCGCUCACGCCUUCUUUGCCUCUGGCCACCCACCCCACGCAGAGGAGGCGCUGCACACCAGCGGCGGCGUCGGACCGUCCGACAAGGGCGUCGGUGAUCACAUCGACGUCUCCGAGGCGAUGCGGCGCAGAAACGCGAUUCGCGGUGUCCUCUGCCUCGGCUGCACUUGCUACUUCCUUGUCGAGGAGUUUUGUGAGACCCUUACCCGCUGCCCGCGGUGCGACAAAGACAUCCUGAGCCUCUGCCUGCAAGCCAUCCAGGCGCAGCUACAGGCGCUUGUGAGGGAGAAGCAGACGCUGGUGACACUGCUGCCGCCUGUGAGGCAGGUGUGGAAGCGGCUUUUUGCACGUGAACAAUCACAGGCGCCAAGCGCCGCCGCAAUGGCUUCAUCAUCGACGGCAGAGGCGGACAAGACGGCAGCGCAUAAUACUACAGCAGGCACAGGCACUUCCUUCAGUGCAGCUGCAUUGCCGGUGAGACUCCAGCUAGAUUGCAUGCUGUCCCGCGACCCCUUUUUGUUUCAGCAAGCCGUCGCAUUCUUGUCGCUCUACAGCACGCCCUUUGCCUCCGUGAGCGACGCAGCGAGUGUGGUGGAUGCGCAAGAGAUACUCACCGAGCGCGAGUACCAGAAUCGGCUCUGCGGGCGCGCGUCGGUGGCCGAUCAGUUUCGGUCUCUUCACCGUCACGCCUCAUCGGUGCACGUGCGUCUCAUGUCCCAGCGAGAGAUUGACGCAGCGCGGCAGCAGGAGAGCCACCAGAAGCUGCUGAAGCGGGCGAUGCUGCCGCCUUGGCUGCGAAACACAACCGCUCUUGAUGAGCUUGGUGGCAGUCAUAUUUGCGCCAGCGCCGACAAGGGUGCCGCCGCGACGCAAGAGGUGGAGAUGAACGUGGCGAAGGAGCCAUGGGAGAUGGAGGACUUGCGGUUUAGAGAGACUACAAAAGGACACGUGCCCACUGGCGGAGCGCUCUGGGCGGCAGAAAGUAGCGUCGCCCGCUCCUCGGUGACGGCGACGCCGGUGCAGAAGCGUCGGCGAGCCACAGCCGAUGCUGACGAGAAAGCCGAGCUGACACGCACCGCCUCCUUUAUCGCGACUCACUACUAUGAUGACGAGUUUGAUGCGGUGGCGCUUCCACAGACGCGGCGCUUGCGAGGGAGAAAGAGGGAGGCAUGAGAGAUACAACGAAGAGUUCUAAAUAUGAGCUACCUGCGUUUCUGGUGUUUGGCAGAGUCUGCUCUGCAGGUAAGGAUGCGUGUUGCUUCAACUCGGGGGUUUUCUCUUUUCCAGCCAUGCCUCACGUCUCCGUGACGGAAGGGGGGGGGGCAACCUCUGCCAAAGAUGUCCGUGGCACAAACAGCGUGGCCGGAGCUUUUUUUGCCUGGCAAUUCUGUGGGCAUGAACAAGUGUACCCCCUCCUCCCCCUCUUCUUCCGCCGCGCUGAGCGUCACGUGCGCCGUUCAGGUGGCAGAUGUUGAGGCUAGUCCGCUGAGGCUCGCGCUCACUGAGCGGGAGGUUGUAUCCACAUGUCGUUCUUCACCGAAAC
rnacentral:misc_RNA from 1 species